UGAAUAGAAACAUCUGAGUAAAUAGUCUUGGCUCUUGGCCGAAAUAUUUUGUCUGGUGUGUGAGACACAUGUGUGAAUUCCACCCAUGUGACUAGGCCUUCCAAAGCUCCUCAUCCACCCCCACCCCCAAAGCCCCCUGAGCACAUUGAGAAGUGGCUGCUCAGCCUGAAUACCCAAGGACUAGACUCUCAACUGCAGAACCUACCCCAAAUCUGGCCACCCAGUGAGACCCAGCCUGUGAGAGCUAGAUAGUCUUGUUUUAUUGCGUCCAUGGAACUGGUGCAGGCAUGAUGCUCAAGAAUUCCUUUAUUUCUCAUCAUAAGGCACAUCUUAAGAGUAUUUACACACCAUAGCACUUAGGAAUUGAGCUCAUGGACUCAGGCUUUUAUCAUGCUUGAUUUGCAUUCAAAUAUGUUAGUGUUUGGUCUCAACAGCAUGUUAGGUCCUGGAGAGAGCUGCAAGAAAAUGUGGCUUUUUCUGGGGUUGUUCUCCAGAAGAAAUGGGUCAGCUCUAGACAUGAAAGUGGAAGCAAACUUUCUAUUCAGUAGAAAAUAUGAUUAAACAAAUUUUUUCAAAUAUUUAUCAUGACUGGUCUCAACAGAGUUGAAUUUUAAUCUGUGAAAAUUAAAGAGAUUUUUCUCUUCAAAUUAUUCAACUCUAGCCAGUAGUCACUUUGAGACAUUUUCAAACAUAUUCGCCUUUUCUUCAUGCUUUCAAUGGGUUUUAAAAAUUGAGUGUUUUGAUUCCUCCUUCCUUAAUCCCUGAGUUUAUCUGGACUCUCUGAUCUUCCUAGCUGUUUUGCAUGGAUGAUUUUCAUAUCAAAUUGUCCCCACCUUGUUACCUAAAAGUGACAGCUGAUGGCCUUUGACAUCGCUUUUGUUGUCCUGGAUUUGACUGAUAACUGUUCUUCCUCCGGCCGUUUAAACACUUAUGCCCCCUCUGGGAAGAUUCCAGGUCUGUUAGAGCUUGAAGGGAUUUUUAGAGAAUAAACCUAAGUAUCCAACCUCAUUUUACAGAAGAGGAAACAGAACCACAGGAGCUAAGUGAGUUGUCAAAGACCCCAUUAUUAGUCAAUAGCAAAGCUGGAACCUAUGCUGGGCUUCCUGAUUCUCCAGAUCGGCUUCUCUUCACAUUAUGCUAACUCAUUGUUCUUUGUGUUGAUCGUAGGAAAUGACUGAUCCUGUCAUCACAGAUGCCCCCUCCUCCAUUUUGGUGAUACCAACUAAAAGAAUUCCUCCAAGAGUGCGAUAAAACGUCAUCGGACCUUAGGGUGCAGGAAAACCCAUUCUUUAACUCACCCCUUAGAUGCUCCCAAGGCUAUCGCCACAAUGCUUGCGAGGCCUCCUAUCACACCAGGUCACUGUGUGAAUUUGAUCCAGUUUUCUACAUUCUCCUACCCCAAGAGGGAACGUUUGGAGUGCCAAACCUGAGGCAUAGCUCCUAUUAUACUUACUAAGGUUAGCAAGAAUUAGCUGACUGUCACAGUCACACUUCAUUCCUUGUCAAACCAUCUGCCUGAGGACGCCUGGGUGGCUCAGCGGGCUAAGCGUCUGCCUUAGG